GAAGCCAGACCGGUUUGCAGCAGCGGCGGCGGGAGCCUCCGCGGCAGUCGGACUGGGCUCCGGACUCAGUGCCAGGGGAUACGGCGCUCUGUCCCGCCGCCGGUUACCUUGUACCGAGAGCAGUGCGGGGCGGGCCCCUGGAUUGGGCAUGUUCCGCCAAGGCUCCAGAGCUAGCCAAGGGCUUUCCGGCGGUUUCCAGAGUCCUGCAUCCCGGUUAAACAGAGCUAUGUUUGGGAUAGGACUUCCCCCUUCCUUAGGUCGUUGAACUCUGCAACCGCUGGUCGCCUGCCCGUUGGACUCCGCUUGAGACGAAGCCCACACUUUAGCACAGGUGACCCCUCCACCAGGAAGGAACAGGUUAGGAUUCCAAGGCGAUGGUGUCUCCCCCCCUUUUAAGGACAGCAGGUGUUUCCAGGAAGUAAAAUCUACCAAACAGUUUGUGCAUUUCUGCUUCUGGUCUUGGAUUUCUGCCAUCACCAUGAGAACAAGCCCACUGGAGGAUGAAAGACCCUGUGGAGCAGAGCUGAGUCAUCACAGCUGAGACCAUCCUUGAUCAGCCAGCCCUCAGUUGACUGCAGAGGGAUGUCUCAAGGGCAAACUGAAGUCCCAUAAAUAUCCAAAGAGGAGUUGCCAGAGGGAAUUUGUGGAGUGUUAGUCAACUAUGGAUACUUCUAGCAGAUCAUCUUCUAUUUAUUCUUCAACUAAAAAAACCUUCAAGCAUCCACAGGGAAGGCAUGCGUUGCCUCCAUGGGCAUGAAACAGUAAAGUACAGGCUGCAUCCUUCACAACUCCUGAAGGAUCAUCUUUUAUCACAUUGUCUUCUCUUUCUAGAAACUUCUUUUCUAAGCAGACAAGAAAAACUAAAUGCUUAGCGGACUCCCCCCAUAUAACUUGAGAUUCUCAUUUCAGAGUACCCUAUCUUCUCUAAUUUCAGGUUUGCUCUUAAGGUUAGCAAAGGCUUCAAAACCUCAUCCCCAAUUCUCUUCUUUCUCUCUUUCCCUCUGUACCAUCCUCCUUUCUUCUAGCUUUGCGUUCUUUCCCUGCGCCAUCUUUUCUUCCUUAAUCCUAUCCAUCUCUUUGUCCCUCCUUCCUCUCAGGAUUGGGAAGACUAUUGAACGAGGAGUCCUAAGGCCUGCUUUCUCAUCCCACUUCUGUCCCUGCAACAGUGACAUCUGCAUUCUCUCUGGGCUUCUGAUUCCUUGGAUUCAGAUUCUUUUCAUGAGGGUGUUAGAUGAGAUGCCCUGAAAGGUCACAAACACAGUCUGUGAUCCUUAAACCCCUUCUACAACACACACAGUGGCAAGGCUCAGAGGAGGUUGAAUAUUAAGGACUCAGAACCCUUUAGAAGAGGUGUGCAUGUAUUUCAACCCUCCUCAUACAAUUCCCAAUACCUCAGUGCUUUUAUCCUAAGUUGUUGUUUUUUUUUUUCAAUUAGAAACCAUGUAACUCUACCAGAUACAAACCCUACUUAACCUAAUAUGCUUUGCCCAGAGGUUGGUAUCAUCCUAGAUCUCCUCAAGACUUGCUGAUAUUUACAUUCUUCAGCCAGAAAGAACCUGAAUACUGGAGACCCAAUGUUAGCAAGCAUUCAGGUCUGACCAUAAAGAAGUUCUCCAGAAUACCUGGUAAUUCAUCUAAGAAAUAUGAAAAAGAGCUAAAAAGUUUUCCCUAACAAAUUCACACCAAAAUAUAAAAUGAUAUACAUUGAGAUUAUGAUUACGUGAAAAAAUAUGCACAUGAACCCUCCUGAAAGAAAAUUAAAAAUUAAACGUCUUGUGCUAGGGUGGGGGAAACUCUCAGAUUUUUUGAUGUUAUGUUGUUUUUACAUUAAAAAAUACAUAUGCCAUUAAAACUUCAAGUCUAAUUUCCACUAGCCUAUACCAUCUGUUUUCUGUUUAGUUCAGUUACACCUUUUCUCUUCAACAUUUUUUUCUUGUUACAAACAGACUCACACGCAUACCUUUUCUAGGUGAAUUUUCACUUUGCCCAGGAAUUACAAAACUGACAGAACCUCAACAGGGUUUAAUUUGAAGAGUGAACAGGAAGCUAGAGAAUAUGAGAAUGGAGGGGAGGAAGAAGGGGGGAAAAAAUAGAGUAUUGGUAGGAUAGCAUAGAGAACCAAACUGCAUUUCAUAAUGUACCAUAAAGGCAUAUAUAAUGUAUACACACGUUUUGUAUAUCAAGUCUGAACUUGAGCGUUAAGGAACACGAAAGUCAAAGUCUACAUAAGAGAAAAAGAAACCCCCUUUUGGUUGGAAAGCCUGGUUUAAAAAGCUUGAAGUAGAUAAAGGAGGCAGAAAUGAGCAAUGUUCCUCAAAACCUGGCAAAAUCUAUUGCAAUUAUUAUAGCCUGGGAAAUAGUGUGUUGAAACAACUUACCUAAAGUCACAACAAAUGAGCCGUAGAACCAGGAAUAAAACCCACGGCUGCCGUCUUGUAUCUCCAGAGGAGGCGAUGGUCAGUAGACUGUGCCCUGGAUUCUUCAUGACUAAGCAUAGGUCUUUCAUGCCAUAACCUUCUUUAUUCUAAUAUGUGAAAUACUCAGUUGUUUUCUACCUCCUUGAAACAUUGAAAAGAUUUCUCAUCAAUAGUGAAAACAUUUGACACCAGACAGAUCACAAUAAAAGAGUAACAGGUCUAGAAAAUACCGAAAAAUAAUGGAACCUACAGGGAAAGCUGAAAGAGAAGGAACGGUAAUGAAUUCAACAAAGAUAAUUGAGUUUCCUAAAUAGAGGCAAUAACUGUCCACCCGAGACACCUGUAUACCUGAUGCCUUCCUGUCACCAUUUUGGGAAGGGCUCAGGUGCUUACAGUGAGUGAAUUUAGCUCUGCCCUGUAUGGAGUGGCAGCUUCCAGGGCUAAGACUGGAGUUUCUCAGUUUUGUUUUCUGAAGGGAAGUUGUGUACAUGAUGCUAAUGACACAAUGCUUGUUGAAGAGAAGUGAAUGUUAACUUUAGUCAAUCAAUGAAGCUCCCUUUAAGAUUUCUCAAGAUCCCUGUGACACCUUACCAUCUGAAUGCACCAGGAAGACAGCACGGAUAUUUGCUUUUACUUCUCAAAAAAUUUAGGAA